UGGGGAAUUUUGGACAAUGGGGCAACCCUGAUCCAGCCAUGCCGCGUGAGUGAAGAAGGCCUUCGGGUUGUAAAGCUCUUUCGGCGGGGACGAAACGGUCCGUGACAACACCACGGACUAAUGACAGUACUCGCAGAAGAAGCACCGGCUAACUACGUGCCAGCAGCCGCGGUAAUACGUAGGGUGCAGGCGUUAUCCGGAAUUACUGGGCGUAAAGAGUUGCGUAGGUGGCAAGUUAAGCGGGUAGUGAAAUCGUGUGGCUCAAUCAUACACACAUUACCUGAACUGGCUAGCUAGAGUGCGAUAGAGGUAACUGGAAUUACUAGUGUAGGAGUGAAAUCCGUAGAUAUUAGUAGGAACACCGAUGGCGUAGGCAGGUUACUGGAUCGCAACUGACACUGAGGCACGAAAGCGUGGGGAGCAAACGGGAUUAGAUACCCCCGUAGUCCCUGAGCGGGCUGGCAAGGCGCAU
rnacentral:rRNA from 1 species